UAGGGAAUUUUCCGCAAUGGGCGAAAGCCUGACGGAGCAACGCCGCGUGAGUGAGGACGGCCUUCGGGUUGUAAAACUCUGUUCUUGAGGAAGAAUUCCUUCCAGGCGAACAGCCUGGAAGGUUGACGGUACUCAAGGAGAAAGCCCCGGCUAACUACGUGCCAGCAGCCGCGGUAAUACGUAGGGGGCGAGCGUUAUCCGGAAUUAUUGGGCGUAAAGCGCGCGCAGGCGGCCGAUUAAGUCAGGUGUGAAAGGCUGCGGCUCAACCGCAGAGCGGCACCUGAAACUGGUCGGCUUGAGUGCAGGAGAGGGGAGCGGAAUUCCCGGUGUAGCGGUGGAAUGCGUAGAGAUCGGGAGGAACACCAGUGGCGAAGGCGGCUCUCUGGCCUGUAACUGACGCUGAGGCGCGAAAGCGUGGGGAGCAAACA
rnacentral:rRNA from 1 species